rnacentral:rRNA from 1 species
AACGAACGCUGGCGGCAUGCCUAACACAUGCAAGUCGAACGAGACCUUCGGGUCUAGUGGCGCACGGGUGCGUAACGCGUGGGAACCUGCCCUUAGGUUCGGAAUAACUCCCCGAAAGGGGUGCUAAUACCGGAUAAUGUCUUCGGACCAAAGAUUUAUCGCCCUUGGAUGUGCCCGCGUUGGAUUAGCUUGUUGGUAGGCUAAAAGCCUACCAAGGCGACGAUCCAUAGCUGGUCUGAGAGGAUGAUCAGCCACACUGGGACUGAGACACGGCCCAGACUCCUACGGGAGGCAGGAGUGGGGAAUAUUGGACAAUGGGCGGAAGGCUGAUCCAGCAAUGCCGCGUGAGUGAUGAAGGCCUUAGGGUUGUAAAGCUUUUUUACCCGGGAUGAUAAUGACAGUACCGGGAGAAUAAGCGCCGGCUAACUCCGUG